rnacentral:misc_RNA from 1 species
GUUUGACAAAUAUGUCACAAUACAAAGAUAGAUCAUUCACAAGCACUUGUACAGCUGUAUCAUUUACUCAAUUUUAUUUUAAUAAUAUCAAUAUUUAUUUUACAAAACGUAUAGUUCAUGACUUGACAUACAAGUGCAACACAUGUGUCGAGGAACUAGUCCACGAAAGAAGGGAUAUCAUAACUUGCAUUUUGUGUACUACACUAGGGACCAGAGUCACCAGACAGAAAAGAACCUCAGAUCAGUAUAGACUCAUAGCCUUCCUGAUCCCUUUGAUUCCGACGUUGAUAAAUAACAGCAGCACCAACAACUAGUGCAAUUCCAAACACUGCCAAGGCUCCAAUAGCACUUUGUAAUAUUACAAUCUCACCUGUUUCAUCUGUGGAAUGUAGGAUAGAAUUAGGCUUCGGUGAUGGUUCAGCAACCAAGAGAUAGAACAACCCCAUCACUCCUGUAUGCCUCUGGGCAUUGCUAUAGUUUGAUAGUAAAGUUACAGUCUCCCCUGCCGAGAUCUUAAUAGAGCCAGGUCUAGGAUAACAACUAGACAUCCCGACUAUGUAACCAGCUUCAUUUCCUGGUUCCUUUCCUUCCCCGUAGAUUGGAAUAGAUGAGCAUAUGCCACGUCCAUCCUCUCCAUGGAGUGCCAUACCAGUCCCUCCUGUAUGUUGAUGAGCAACUCCAUAUAUGACAUCUCCGCCGCUAGGAAAAGUUAAGAUUAUCUUCUUUGUAUGAGUGCAAUCGACAUUUGCAACAGCUGAUGAACAUGAUUCCACUAAAUAUUCGAUCUGGCAGUGAUGUCUUGCCACAGUGGUAGUCGAUUUUUCUGGCUUUUUCCAUGUAUCAGUGAUAUCAAGUAUAUAAAUUUUGACAGGCACAAUGGAGGCCUCCCAAUCAAUAUACUUCACUGUGUACUUGAGGUACAGAUUUCUCCUCGGUCCUUGGAAUCCGUCUUUCACCCUGCAUUUUGUUUCAUCAUAACAACAUCUCAACCCUCCAAUGUAAUCUGGCUCUAUAACUCGGUCAUGCUCGUCCUUGGUAACAUUAUAAAGAUCACACCUGCACUCAGUACAUCCCAAUCUAUCUUCUGCACCUCGUGUAUCAAUUGCAUGUACAUUAAGCAACCAUUUCUCCUCAUAUCCAGGAGGUACUUCCACUGGAUUACCGACUUCUAUUCCAUAAGGAUCUGGAAC